GUGCUCACUUUGGCAGCACACACAUUGCGCUCGGGACGACUGAGAGAAGAUUAGCACGGCCCCUGCGUGAGGAUCCACGCAAAUUCGUGAGGCCUUCCAGAUCUUU